rnacentral:rRNA from 1 species
GGUUAAGCGACUAAGCGUACACGGUGGAUGCCCUGGCAGUCAGAGGCGAUGAAGGACGUGCUAAUCUGCGAUAAGCGUCGGUAAGGUGAUAUGAACCGUUAUAACCGGCGAUUUCCGAAUGGGGAAACCCAGUGUGUUUCGACACACUAUCAUUAACUGAAUCCAUAGGUUAAUGAGGCGAACCGGGGGAACUGAAACAUCUAAGUACCCCGAGGAAAAGAAAUCAACCGAGAUUCCCCCAGUAGCGGCGAGCGAACGGGGAGGAGCCCAGAGCCUGAAUCAGUGUGUGUGUUAGUGGAAGCGUCUGGAAAGGCGCGCGAUACAGGGUGACAGCCCCGUACACAAAAAUGCACAUGCUGUGAGCUCGAUGAGUAGGGCGGGACACGUGGUAUCCUGUCUGAAUAUGGGGGGACCAUCCUCCAAGGCUAAAUACUCCUGACUGACCGAUAGUGAACCAGUACCGUGAGGGAAAGGCGAAAAGAACCCCGGCGAGGGGAGUGAAAAAGAACCUGAAACCGUGUACGUACAAGCAGUGGGAGCACGCUUAGGCGUGUGACUGCGUACCUUUUGUAUAAUGGGUCAGCGACUUAUAUUCUGUAGCAAGGUUAACCGAAUAGGGGAGCCGAAGGGAA